rnacentral:rRNA from 1 species
UAGUUGGUGGGGUAACGGCCUACCAAGGCGACGAUGAGUAGCCGGCCUGAGAGGGCGACCGGUCACACUGGGACUGAGACACGGCCCAGACUCCUACGGGAGGCAGCAGCUAAGAAUCUUCCGCAAUGGUCGAAAGGCUGACGGAGCGACGCCGCGUGGACGAAGAAGGCCGGAAGGUUGUAAAGUCCUUUUCUCAGAGAAGAAUAAUGUGGGGAGGGAAUGCCCUACAGAUGACGUUAUCUGAGGAAGAAGCCCCGGCUAAUUACGUGCCAGCAGCCGCGGUAACACGUAAGGGGCAAGCGUUGUUCGGAAUUAUUGGGCGUAAAGGGCGCGUAGGCGGCUGAGCAAGCCUGGUGUGAAAGGCCACAGCUUAACUGUGGGAGUGCGCUGGGAACUGCUUGGCUGGAGUUCAGGAGGGGAAUCUGGAAUUCCUGGUGUAGGGGUGAAAUCUGUAGAUAUCAGGAAGAACACCUGUGGCGAAGGCGAGAUUCUGGCCAUGAACUGACGCUGAGGCGCGAAAGCGUGGGGAGCGAACAGGAUUAGAUACCCUGGUAGUCCACGCUGUAAACGAUGUGCACUAGGUGUUGGCUGUUGUAACGGUCAGUGCCGAAGCAAACGCGAUAAGUGCACCGCCUGGGGAGUAUGCUCGCAAGGGUGAAACUCAAAGGAAUUGACGGGGGCCCGCACAAGCGGUGGAGCAUGUGGUUUAAUUCGAUGAUACGCGAGGAACCUUACCAGGGCUUGACAUAUGCAUGACGGUCGUAGAGAUACGGCUUCCCUUCGGGGCGUGCAUACAGGUGCUGCAUGGUUGUCGUCAGCUCGUGCUGUGAGGUGUUGGGUUAAGUCCCGCAACGAGCGCAACCCCUGCUGUCUGUUACCAGCACGUAAUGGUGGGGACUCAGACGGUACUGCCGGUGACAAACCGGAGGAAGGUGGGGAUGACGUCAAAUCAUCAUGGCCCUUAUGUCCUGGGCUACACACGUGCUACAAUGGUCGGUACAGAGCGAGGCAAAACCGCGAGGUGGAGCAAAUCGCAGAAAGCCGGUCUCAGUACGGAUUGGAGUCUGAAACCCGACUUCAUGAAGUUGGAAUCGCUAGUAAUCGCGCAUCAGCAUGGCGCGGUGAUACGUUCCCGGG